CCUACGGGUGGCAGCAGUGGGGAAUAUUGCACAAUGGGGGAAACCCUGAUGCAGCGACGCCGCGUGAGUGAAGAAGUAAUUCGUUAUGUAAAGCUCUAUCAGCAGGGAAGAAAAUGACAGUACCUGAUCAAGAAGCCCCGGCUAACUACGUGCCAGCAGCCGCGGUAAUACGUAGGGGGCAAGCGUUAUCCGGAUUUACUGGGUGUAAAGGGAGCGUAGACGGGUGUGCAAGUCUGGAGUGAAAGGCGGGGGCCCAACCCCGGGACUGCUUUGGAAACUGUAUAACUGGAGUACAGGAGAGGCAGGUGGAAUUCCUGGUGUAGCGGUGAAAUGCGUAGAUAUCAGGAGGAACACCAGCGGCGAAGGCGGCCUGCUGGACUGAAACUGACGUUGAGGCUCGAAAGCGUGGGGAGCAAACAGGAUUAGAUACCCUGGUAGUC
rnacentral:rRNA from 1 species